GUUUUAAUAGUUUAAAAGAAAAUAUAAAUUUUGUAAAUUUAAGAUAAUAAUUUAUUUUAAAACU
rnacentral:tRNA from 1 species